CUUAAAAGGACAGGGUUUCCCCUGCACUCAGCUGGUGACGUGCACUUAUUCACAUCAGCAGAUUCUGUUCCCAGCCUUUAGCCAAAACAUAUGACGUUUUCAAUUGAGGGGAGGAGAAAGGGUAAGGGUGAAAUGAAGAUAGACAGGGACAAACUGAGACAAUAUUGAUUUAAGCUUCUGCCUAAGGGCUUAGGAGAAGAGUCAGAGUAGUCACGGAAUGGGGGUUGUUUUUAUUGCAGCUUUGAAUUUCAUUGCACACCAUGGUUUUUUUGUUUCAGGGUCACUUUAAAUCUUUCUUCAUGCGAGUCUGUUCUGUACGCUGAGCUGUUUUAUGGGGCUUUCAAUGGCUGUGAACCUGGUAUCAUAUUUCUUGUUCAUUGUAUGCAAACUUAAAGAGAAAGCAACUGCUCCAAGAACUUAACUCAUUCACUCCUGCUCUACAACCGAUCAGGAUCAUUAACUACAUCGUGAUUCCCGAUCAGUAAACUGUAAAAUGAAAGGAAAGCCAGAUUGUAAAAUGUAAUCAUCAAACUGGGACUAUAGGUGAGCUGGUGAAUGUCCUCCAUUCAGCUACUUCUUGCCUCCAUUUUGCUAUUUGGUUUGCACUUUUGUAUUUAUUAAACAUAAUGUAUCCAGGGAUUUGCAACUUUUAGGAAAAUAUGUGAGCUGGAUGGAAACUAAGUGACUACAGGACAUCACACCUACACCUACUCGAUUUCAAAGAACUUGUUAUGAUACCUGAAGUUGCCUAAUAAUUUCUUACUUUUUCGAAUUACCCCCCCCCAUCAAUGGACACUCCAAACACCAUAUUAUUAUUAUUAUUAUUA